AGACACUACCCCCUGAGUUGGAUACUAAGAUACAAAGUUUAGUCGAGUAUCCCCGGCUGCUCUGAUCUUUGCAUCUUGUGUGAUAAAACGAAGAUGGUCUUUAUUGGUUUUGCUACAAGAAACCACAAACGGAAUAUACCUACCACUCUCUUGUUACUACCGAAGCCAAGUAGAGACACUUUACCCUACAAAGGAAUACCCAAGCUUAUGAUAUAUCCUGAGGUCUGAAGGUCACCUUACUACCACAUUACUACUGAUCAUGGGGGAACGAUAUGCCAGGUGAGAAAUGAGCACACAAAAUGUUUUCAAAUCAUCACACUCUUUGAAAGUCUUCAAGAAAGGACUGUACGGACAUGUAACUCUCCCGUAGGUGGAAAAGGACGAAUGAUUCAUAGCCCGCUAGAUCCUCAGGGGACAUUUCAGACCAUUUGAGUCUUGUACUUGUGUGCUUUUUGGAGUGCCAUCAAACAAUGUGCCUGCUGUAAUUUACUAUGUAUUACAUAAACUGACUUUGAAUGAAUAUUGGAGUAAUAUUUACACCAUUUGUCAUAGCUGUCAGUUGGCCUAUCCACGACAGUCUCUUUCCCCCCCCACAUUUUUGGUAAAAUGUAGUUUUAUUGAAUAAAAGAGGUCUAUUUUUCACCAACACAAAAAAUGAUUACCCUUUAAAAUACCAAAUGGUUACCCUAUAAGUGUACUCUGUGGUGACCUUGUACUUGUACUCUCUGACAUUCAGCAGAUACAUUUCAACAACGUUGGUGUUAAUUUAGUAGAUAGUCAGAUUUUAUGAUUGUCUUGCUGAUUUCAGAACCGCACGUGGCGACCUCCCUCGUGCAACCAAGAUUAUUAGAAUGUGACCUACUUAAAGCACAUUUAAUGGGUGCCCGACUCGUGGCCUGAAACUGUCACCCUUCCAUUAGAGACUCUUUCAAGUGUGCUAUCACACUCAGAAAGUAAACAGAAAAUCUAUUUAUACAACAUCAGAUGGUGUGUCAACAUUGCUGGUAGAAAACUGUAACUGGGUUGUUGACGUCCAUAUAUGGGCAAAAUCCUCUUGGGAAAAGUCUCGAAAGUGCAUUGAUUGAACGUGGAUUUUUUGCCAGAGUGACACCUGUUAAGCGCAACACAAAUGCAACAUUAUGAAACGUGUGGCAAAAGCGAGGAUUAACAUAAUGAUUUAAACCUCUCUGUUUGAUUUGUUUAUGUUAGUCAUUUUUUUUGUCUUUCACUUCUGAGCGUGGUCUUCCAUAAUGCUAGUGCUAAUGGAAAGCCCCCAGCACUUCAGCUGUCCAUCCAACAAAUGUAAAAUGGGCUCAAACAUUUACAGCUGUCAGUUGCAGCAUGCUGCCUGGCUGUGAAACAAUCUGAGUUAUGACUGUCACUGACAAGCCCCCUCUCCAUGAAACUGCCUGACGUACGAUGUUCGCUGUGCGGGAGAACUCAGUGGGGGUAAGCACUGUCGUUUAUCGAUUCACGGCACAGCUAUUAAACAAAUGGCCCUGUUAAAUGACCCUGACAGAGGUGACCAGGCUUCCUUUCAAGCGCAGUGAUUUACUGAGAUCAUUUGGUUGAAUCACUGUCCACUUAAAACUGGCCAUCUGUUAUUUGAAGAAUAGCUUUGCUCAGACAUGGAAAGAUGUUGAUCUUUAUUCAUCAUGUAUUGAUACAUUUUUCUAUAGGUUCCUCAAUCUAUUUCAUAGUGAUUUGAACACUGCCCAAAUGUACUGUAGAUUUGUGGCACUGCAGCCUAUAGGCUGGGCGGUGAGCUACAGACUCUAUCAACUCUACAUGUUUCCUCUAUU